UACGUAGGUGGCAAGCGUUGUCCGGAUUUACUGGGCGUAAAGGGCGUGUAGGCGGUCUGUUAAGUCUAGGGUGAAAGCUCCCGGCUCAACUGGGAGAGGUCCUUGGAUACUGGCGGACUUGAGGGAGGCAGAGGAAAGUGGAAUUCCCGGUGUAGUGGUGAUAUGCGUAGAUAUCGGGAGGAACACCAGUGGCGAAGGCGGCUUUCUGGGACUUACCUGACGCUGAGACGCGAAAGCGUGGGGAGCGAACCGG
rnacentral:rRNA from 1 species